UUGAACGCUGGCGGAAUGCUUUACACAUGCAAGUCGAGCGGCAGCGCGGGGGCAACCCUGGCGGCGAGCGGCGAACGGGUGAGUAAUGUAUCGGAACGUACCCUGUCGUGGGGGAUAACACAGCGAAAGCUGUGCUAAUACCGCAUACGACCUGAGGGUGAAAGCGGGGGAUCGCAAGACCUCGCGCGAUAGGAGCGGCCGAUAUCGGAUUAGCUUGUUGGUGAGGUAAAGGCUCACCAAGGCGACGAUCCGUAGCUGGUCUGAGAGGACGACCAGCCACACUGGAACUGAGACACGGUCCAGACUCCUACGGGAGGCAGCAGUGGGGAAUUUUGGACAAUGGGGGCAACCCUGAUCCAGCCAUGCCGCGUGAGUGAAGAAGGCCUUCGGGUUGUAAAGCUCUUUCGGACGGAAAGAAACGGUCACGGCCAAUACCCGUGGCUAAUGACGGUACCGUCAGAAGAAGCACCGGCUAACUACGU
rnacentral:rRNA from 1 species